rnacentral:rRNA from 1 species
UUCAACUGGAGAGUUUGAUCCUGGCUCAGAACGAACGUUAGCGGCGCGCCUAACACAUGCAAGUCGAGCGAGAAAGGGCUUCGGCCCCGGUAAAGCGGCGCACGGGUGAGUAACACGUAGAUAACCUACC